UUUUGCAUAAAGGAACUUUUGUUUGCAAAUUUUUAUUUUUGAUUUGUGUGCAGUUUUUGUCAGCACAUUAUUUAGAGCUCUCAGAAUUUUAGCCUGCUGUAGAAUUAUUUGCAACGCACAUAAAAUGAAAUCCACCCAAAUAUUCAACGUGCAUGGAACGCAAAGGGAUAAUAUUUCAGCUGAAGGCAAGCUGUCCUUUGAAAAUUGUUCAAUUAUAUAUAAGCAUGCAUAUGUAUCAGGAAGACACAGCAAAUGUGCCACAAAAUUGCGCCAAUGAUGAAAGCCAAAGUUCUUCUUACGACGCCCCAUAAAAAUGAUGGCAAUGCCCUCAGAUGCCCCUAAUUGAGUGGGAAAAAGGAAUUUUUCCAUUUGUCUGCAUAGCGUCUGGAAAUGUACGUUUAAAAAUUUAUACUCGUAACUGCGACAAGUUCUUAGG